rnacentral:lncRNA from 1 species
GGUCCAGAUUUUACUAAAUUGAAAUACAUUGAUAUAUUAACUCCUACUAAUUCGAAGGGAUCAAUCCCAUCUUGACUUAUACACCAACUUCAUAAGUACUUGAUUGUAACUAAAAAUCUUUCGUCACUGAAUUAGAAACUCAGUUAGUCUGGCAUCAAAGUACAGUGAGUUGCAUGCAAGUCACCGUGAUGAUCUAAGAUCGGAGGGAUACUUAUGUCCAUACCCUUCACGAGCUAUCC